rnacentral:rRNA from 1 species
CCCCCUGGCGGGGUGCUUACCAUGCAGUCGAACGAUGAAGCCCAGCUUGCUGGGUGGAUUAGUGGCGAACGGGUGAGUAACACGUGAGUAACCUGCCCUUAACUCUGGGAUAAGCCUGGGAAACUGGGUCUAAUACCGGAUAGGAGCGCCUACCGCAUGGUGGGUGUUGGAAAGAUUUAUCGGUUUUGGAUGGACUCGCGGCCUAUCAGCUUGUUGGUGAGGUAAUGGCUCACCAAGGCGACGACGGGUAGCCGGCCUGAGAGGGUGACCGGCCACACUGGGACUGAGACACGGCCCAGACUCCUACGGGAGGCAGCAGUGGGGAAUAUUGCACAAUGGGCGAAAGCCUGAUGCAGCGACGCCGCGUGAGGGAUGACGGCCUUCGGGUUGUAAACCUCUUUCAGUAGGGAAGAAGCGAAAGUGACGGUACCUGCAGAAGAAGCACCGGCUAACUACGUGCCAGCAGCCGCGGUAAUACGUAGGGUGCGAGCGUUAUCCGGAAUUAUUGGGCGUAAAGAGCUCGUAGGCGGUUUGUCGCGUCUGUCGUGAAAGUCCGGGGCUUAACCCCGGAUCUGCGGUGGGUACGGGCAGACUAGAGUGCAGUAGGGGAGACUGGAAUUCCUGGUGUAGCGGUGGAAUGCGCAGAUAUCAGGAGGAACACCGAUGGCGAAGGCAGGUCUCUGGGCUGUAACUGACGCUGAGGAGCGAAAGCAUGGGGAGCGAACAGGAUUAGAUACCCUGGUAGUCCAUGCCGUAAACGUUGGGCACUAGGUGUGGGGACCAUUCCACGGUUUCCGCGCCGCAGCUAACGCAUUAAGUGCCCCGCCUGGGGAGUACGG